UCGCGUCAGGAUAAACGACUGGCGGCGCACAUAAGACAUGCAAGUCGAACGGACUUAACCAUAGUUUACUAUUGGAGCGGUUAGUGGUCGGACGUGGUGAGUAACACGUAAGCAACCUGCCUAUCAGAGGGGAACGAACAGUUAGAAAUGACUGCUAAUACCGCAUAUGCCUUAGUAACACAUGUUACAAAAGGGAAAGAAGCAAUUCGCUGAUAGAUGGGCUUGCGUCUGAUUAGAUAGUUGGUGGGGUAACGGCCUACCAAGUCGACGAUCAGUAGCCGGACUGAGAGGUUGAACGGCCACAUUGGGACUGAGAUACGGCCCAGACUCCUACGGGAGGCAGCAGUCGGGAAUAUUGCGCAAUGGAGGAAACUCUGACGCAGUGACGCCGCGUGCAGGAAGAAGGUUUUCGGAUUGUAAACUGCUUUAGACAGGGAAGAAACAAGACAGUACCUGUAGAAUAAGCCCCGGCUAACUACGUG
rnacentral:rRNA from 1 species